GUGCUCGCUUUGGCAGCACAUAUACUAAAAUUGGAAUAAUACAGAGAAGAUUAGUAUGGCCCUAUGAAAGGAUGACACGCAAAUUUGUGAUGUGUUCCAUAUUUUU
ensembl:snRNA U6 U6 spliceosomal RNA